AUUUACAAUUCUCAUUAUCAUGUACAUGUUUUUAGCCAAUUAUAUUGGUCAACUUAUAACGAAUCACAAUCAUCAUGUAUUUGUUACUGCAUAUAAUGUUCAAUGGUACAUAGCUCCAUUGCAUAUACAGAAAAUAAUAUUAUUUCUGUUACAAAGAAACUCGAAAAAUUUUACUUUGACCAUCGGUAAACUGUUUGUUGCAUCUGUAGAGUGUUUUGCUACGCUAGCGAAGACCUCUGUAUCCUAUUUUACAGUUAUAUAUUCCAUACAAUGACGAAAUUAUAAUGAUU